rnacentral:rRNA from 1 species
CAAGGCUUGACAUCCCUUGACAGCCAUGGAAACAUGGUUUCCCUUCGGGGCAAGGAGACAGGUGGUGCAUGGUUGUCGUCAGCUCGUGUCGUGAGAUGUUGGGUUAAGUCCCGCAACGAGCGCAACCCUUAUCAUUAGUUGCCAGCACGUUAAGGUGGGAACUCUAAUGAGACUGCCGGGGAUAACUCGGAGGAAGGUGGGGACGACGUCAAAUCAUCAUGCCCCUUAUGUCUUGGGCUACACACGUGCUACAAUGGCCGGUACAGAGGGCUGCAAUACCGCAAGGUGGAGCGAAUCCCAUAAAGCCGGUCUCAGUUCGGAUCGUGGGCUGCAACCCGCCCACGUGAAGCCGGAGUUGCUAGUAAUCGCGAAUCAGCAUGUCGCGGUGAAUGCGUUCCC